rnacentral:rRNA from 1 species
AUACGGAAGGUGCAAGCGUUAAUCGGAAUUAUUGGGCGUAAAGGGCGCGUAGGCGGAUUGGAUAGUCCGAUGUGAAAUUCCAGGGCUCAACCCUGGAGCUGCAUUGGAAACUUCCAGUCUUGAGGAUAGGCGGAGAAAACGGAAUUCCAUGUGUAGCGGUGAAAUGCGUAGAUAUUGGGAGGAACACCGGUGGCGAAGGCGGCACUCUGGACCGGUACUGACGCUGAGGCGCGAAAGCUAGGGGAGCAAACGGGAUUAGAAACCCCAGUAGUCC